AGCUGCCCUCCUGGGCCUGGGGGUACACAGGUUGUGGAAGGCAAAGCAGAACAGCUUCCUUGGUAGGCCCCCAAGCCCAGAGAUUGGUUCAAAAUGAACACCUGACCCACAUCAAAGCAGUGAGAGGCAGCCCCAGGAUUUUUGCUGGAAUCAAGUUUCUGCGGGACAGGAACCUGGGCGCUGUUGAACUGGCUGCAGUCAUCUUGACUGGGAGAGGAUCCACUUCCAAGU